GACGAACGCUUGCGGCGUGCCUAAUACAUGCAAGUAGAACGCUGAAGAGAGGAGCUUGCUCUUCUUGGAUGAGUUGCGAACGGGUGAGUAACGCGUAGGUAACCUGCCUUGUAGCGGGGGAUAACUAUUGGAAACGAUAGCUAAUACCGCAUAACAAUGGAUGACACAUGUCAUUUAUUUGAAAGGGGCAAUUGCUCCACUACAAGAUGGACCUGCGUUGUAUUAGCUAGUAGGUGAGGUAACGGCUCACCUAGGCGACGAUACAUAGCCGACCUGAGAGGGUGCUCGGCCAGGCUGGGGAUGAGACAAGGCCCAGACUGCUUGGGGAGGCAGCAGUAGGGAAUCUUCGGCAAUGGGGGCAACCCUGACCGGGCAACGCCGCGUGAGUGAAGAAGGUUGUCGGAUCGUAAAGCUCUGUUGUACGUCAAGAACGAGAGUGAGAGUGGAAAGUUCACACUGUGACGGUAGCUUACCAGAAAGGGACGGCUAACUACGUG
rnacentral:rRNA from 1 species